rnacentral:tRNA from 1 species
ACCUGGCUAGUUCAGUGGGAAGAGCAUGUGACUCUUGAUCUCGGGGUUGUGAGUUUAAGCCCCAUGUUGGGUG